ACUACGUGCCAGCAGCCGCGGUAAUACGUUGGUGGCAAGCGUUGUCCGGAUUUACUGGGCGUAAAGGGAGCGUAGGUGGAUAUUUAAGUGGGAUGUGAAAUACUCGGGCUUAACCUGGGUGCUGCAUUCCAAACUGGAUAUCUAGAGUGCAGGAGAGGAAAGUAGAAUUCCUAGUGUAGCGGUGAAAUGCGUAGAGAUUAGGAAGAAUACCAGUGGCGAAGGC
rnacentral:rRNA from 1 species